AAUGAAAACAUUUUUACUGAAUAACCCGUUUCAAAUGAAACACCGAGCUGACACGGUAAACCCCAGACGUCUGCGGAAUGUGCGGGCGGGUCAGCGUCGCUCAAGUAACUUUCGGUUUUUUGACCAUGGCGCCAUAGUAAUCAUAUGCAUGUUAAGAGAGUCUUUGCUGCUUGUCAUAUUUCAGUUCUCCUUAUAGAGUCUAACAGGAAGUCAGAACCGAAGGCGCAGCAGACUUUGAAUGACCAUAAGCAACUACUUUGAAAAACUACAGGACACCUGGCCAUACAGAGCAUGGCACAUUCUGACUGCUAAUCUGGACCCCCACCCCCAGCUGACAACGUGCCACAACAUGAGAUGGAUGUGGAGAAGUGAAGAUGAUCAAAGAGUAUGAGGAUGUCAGCCGAGAAGCAGUGAAAGAGGACUGAACUAAUCGCUUCAAGAUUAUCUUGGUCCUUCCCAAUGAAACACAGGACAACCAAGACCCUGUGUAUGGGUCAGUCAUCAGCAAUAAUAUCCCACACCUGUUCACGUCGUCUGCGGCUGUAAGUUACUGAAACUCACCCCCACCCCCGCUUGCUUUCCUUCAGGGUUUUUCUACAGAGAGCGUAAUUAUAUCCUCACUAUGCAGCACCCGAGCGCACAGUGGCGUAUUCGUUUAAAGAAACCAGCGAGAAGAGAGGGGGGGGGGGGGCGCAGAUUGUGCCCCGUCAACCGCCCUACUGCUAUAAGAGACCUGCCUUUACAUUUGCGGUGAUAAAGUAUCACUAUAGUGUCAAAAACGCGGCAUCUAGCUCUGCUCUACGGACUAGUCUGAAAAACAAGCUAGCUAAAGCUUAGCUAUAGUCAAGCAUGACGCAAAAUGACUAAUUAGCUGGCUAAAAACAAAACCACGAGGCAUUGUUAAGGCAAGUGACUUUCUGGACCAAUGUCAAACAAUUUUAAAAGAUUAAAGUCAAGUAAAAAGACAAAAACAAUUGAAAAC